rnacentral:rRNA from 1 species
UACGUAGGUGACCAGCGUUGUCCGGAUUUACUGGGCGUAAAGAGCGCGCAGGCGGUCGUUCAAGUCGAGUGUGAAAGCCCCCGGCUCAACUGGGGAGGGUCAUUCGAUACUGAUCGACUCGAAGGCAGGAGAGGGAAGCGGAAUUCCCGGUGUAGUGGUGAAAUGCGUAGAUAUCAGGAGGAACACCGAUGGCGAAGGCAGGUCUCUGGGCUGACACUGACGCUCAUGCACGAAAGCGUGGGGAGCAAACAGG